rnacentral:rRNA from 1 species
AAUGAACGCUGGCGGCAGGCCUAAAACAUGCAAGUCGAACGGUAACAGGUCUUCGGAUGCUGACGAGUGGCGCACGGGUGAGUAACACGUGGGAAUAUGCCUUUUGGUACGGAACAACAGUUGGAAACGACUGCUAAUACCGUAUGGUCCCUUCGGGGUAAAGAUUUAUCGCCAAAAGAUUAGCCCGCGUUGGAUUAGCUAGUUGGUUGGGUAAUGGCCUACCAAGGCUACGAUCUAUAGCUGGUCUGAGAGGAUGAUCAGCCGGACUGGAACUAGGACACGGUCAAGAAUCAUACGGGAGGCAGCAGUUAGGAAUAUUGGAUAAUGGUCGAAAGCCUGAGCCAGCCAUGCAGCGUGAGUGAUGAAGCCCUUCGGGUUGUAAAGCUCUUUAGCCGACGAAUAUAAUGACUGUAGUCGGAAAAUAAGCCCCGGCUAACUUCGUGCCAGCAGCCGCCGUAA